GGCUUCGUGGCUCAGCUGGUGAGCAUUGCCGCGUUUAGGCAUGUGUUCUGUCGCUGGUUCGAAUCCAGCCGAAGUCC